GGGUGAUCUGCCCUGCACUUCGGGAUAAGCCUGGGAAACUGGGUCUAAUACCGGAUAUGACCUCCUAUCGCAUGGUGGGUGGUGGAAAGAUUUAUCGGUGCAGGAUGGGCCCGCGGCCUAUCAGCUUGUUGGUGGGGUAAUGGCCUACCAAGGCGACGACGGGUAGCCGACCUGAGAGGGUGACCGGCCACACUGGGACUGAGACACGGCCCAGACUCCUACGGGAGGCAGCAGUGGGGAAUAUUGCACAAUGGGCGAAAGCCUGAUGCAGCGACGCCGCGUGAGGGAUGACGGCCUUCGGGUUGUAAACCUCUUUCAGCAGGGACGAAGCGCAAGUGACGGUACCUGCAGAAGAAGCACCGGCUAACUACGUGCCAGCAGCCGCGGUAAUACGUAGGGUGCAAGCGUUGUCCGGAAUUACUGGGCGUAAAGAGUUCGUAGGCGGUUUGUCGCGUCGUUUGUGAAAACCAGCAGCUCAACUGCUGGCUUGCAGGCGAUACGGGCAGACUUGAGUACUGCAGGGGAGACUGGAAUUCCUGGUGUAGCGGUGAAAUGCGCAGAUAUCAGGAGGAACACCGGUGGCGAAGGCGGGUCUCUGGGGCAGUAACUGACGCUGAGGAACGAAAGCGUGGGUAGCGAACAGGAUUAGAUA
rnacentral:rRNA from 1 species